UUUAGUAGUAUAUUAAAGUACAAGUUAAUUUGGUAUAUACAGAAUAUCCAGAUUUUUUAAACCUCAAAAUAAUUUGUUUACAUUUAUCUAUCUGAAGAGCUGUUGGUUGUGCAGGCAUUUGAUCCAACCCUGGAUCACACCUAGGCUUGUCAAGUUAUUGUCCUAUAACUUAUACAAUGUGGUUAGAGGGAGGUUCAGACAGGGGCCUGUACACCGUAGCUCUCCUGAUGGAUGGUUGCCACCUUUGAUGAAUGCAACAUUACAACCAAAUAUUUGUGCCGUUAUUUAAUUUUUCCCAAAUAAAAUUACUGAGAAACCAAAUGUGUAAGGUGGGAUAAUUCAAAGCAAAGUGUCUAGAGAUGUUUAUCUAUGAAUAUUAAACAGGGGAGAUCAGUAAUAUAGAGCACUGCUUGAAAUUUGUGAACACUACAGGAAUGGUCAUUAUAUUUUAUAACAUUUAAAAAUAAACUCACAGAACCAUUACCUAAGCCCCAAUAUGUAAUAAAGUCAUUCGAAAGAAAGGAUGUUGGGUUUUCACCAAACAAAGCAGUUUCACUGGUGACCAAAAUUGUACAUUCUGGACUCAACUGUCAAGAAUAAUAUAUUUUUUGACAACAGAGGCUUCUUCCUAGCAACACUCCCAAUAAUGGCCAUUUUCAUUCAGUGUUCUUGUUAAAGCAUGCACAGUAACCUGAGAUGCAGCAAGGAAGGUCUGAAAAUAUCCAAAUGUCAUGUUUUCCACUACUAAGACUGUUGAGCAACCAGAGUUGCUGUAAAGUUAAAAGUUAAACUCCUUUUGUAAAUAAUUUGUUUCACAGUGGACUGAUGAAACUCAAAUCAUUUUGAGAAGGUUAUAUAGACUUCCCAAGACUGAUAUGAUCUCACUACGCUUUUCCUAAUGUCCUCUAAGAUCUCCUUUCCUCUUGGCAUGAUGUGUUUUGCAUUCACCUGUAAGGGUAACACUGCACCAAACCUCUUUCCUAUAGAUCUGUCAUGUGAUCGGUGCAUUUGGUACUCAAUUAUUUUCCCACCAAUUUUUUUUUUUGCCUGUAAUGCGUAAGCAUUUGCUCUAAGGAGAGCAAAUGUCUCUGAGUGAGUGUCUGACUGCCCAUUGUUAUGUAGCAUUGUGGUUAGACACAGUCUGCCACACAGGAGACCAGGUAUUAAAUCUGGCCAGGGACAAAACAAAUUAGGAUUAGUUGAGGAUAAACUAAAACUUCACUGGCUACAAGCUUCAAACCAAAACGUAAACAGUUAAUGGUUAUGUUGCUGUUGACAAACUGCAACUGACACGUACUGUAUGUCAUUUGUAUCUUUAUAAACCUGUUUGUCAAAUAGAAAGCUCUGGCUCGGGUUAAAUUAAGAUUUCAGUGUGAAUUUUAUUUUUAUUUUUAUAAUUGCAAAAAGGGUUCACAUAAUUUCAAGCAGCACUGAAUGCACAGCAUGAAAGUUGCUUAUUACCAGAAAUUCUGUUUUGGCAGGAACAUGAGUGGUGAUGACAAUAAUGGUUGGUUGAGGUUAGCAAAAAAAAAAAAUGAUAAUUUACCAUGCUACAAGCUAGGUGUUCAAAUAGUUAUCUAGUUAGUGUAUUUUCUAUACCUGAUACUGAAGUCACAAACUAAAGUCCCACUCUGUUUUUCCUCUGGUAUCAACAUACUUGCAUACUGGCAAACAAAAUGCAGGUGGAUUUGCACACACAGAAUCUUGCGGGGAUAAAUUGGAGAAGAGGGUUAGUUGGGAGGCAUCUCUGGCCUUCUCGUUUGCUGGGUUUUUAGAGGAAAUACAGAUCGUUUUGAUGUGACAUCAUACUCUUACUCUGUGCUCAGACUAUUCACCCGAAAGCUAAGCUAUGCCUCACAAGCAUGGGAGUGAAAACUAAGCUCUGGCCCUGUAGGUAACUCCAGCCAUAUAUGCUCACUGGACAGCUCCGGCCCAAGUCAAUCACUGACUAUGGAAGUUUCUGAAGCUCGAAGAAGCAUCAUUAGUGGCAACAUUUUGUACAAUAUUAAAUAUUUUAAAUUAAUGUUAAUUUUGACAGCCCUGCUUUGAAUUAAGGCUAAACUCUCUUCCAUCAACUAAUACAGUGGCACCAAUUAUCUUCACAGGUGGACAAAAGACAAAAGACGUUUUCUUUGUCCCCAUAUUAUUGUCAGUGUCAAUUCUGCUUUUAGUUUUACUCUGGAGUUGCUUGGGCAUCGUGAAACAAAGUAAGGAAACAUUUUAGAGUCUAACUGCUUUGAUUGUUUCAGUUGUAAAAUUUCACAUGCACAAUUACACUGAUCUAACAUGGAUGCGAUUGAAUCCUGGCCUUACAAUUACAAUGUCAAGCUAAGUGACAAGGUGAAAAAAGGGAACUGUUUAAGUUUAAUGUAAUGAUUUAUGUCUAGAAACACAGCGGUUUGAGUAAUUCCUUCUACUUUCUGUUACAGAGAUAUGUAGUGACCAUAGACCAAGUGAGAUUCAGGAUAUGGGUCAAACCUACAGUGGAAUCUCUUCUGUACCAGUUGAUGUCACUGAGAUCCCUCUUGAUGUUGAAGAAGCAGCCUAUUCUGUGAUAGAUAAUUGGAGAGGAUUGAGACCAUCACUUACACAAAGACAAUCUGGACCCAUGGAUUCACAACAUGUGUCAGUCAUGGGAUCGGAUGUGCAUCACUCUCAAAAAGAUCCUACAGGAGAGGAGGCAAAAUGCAGUUCACUACAAACUACAGCGAUAAGACCAGAAACACAAGUUGAAAAUGCCACCUAUGCCCAAGUGAUCAAAACCAAGAAGAAAGGAAAUGAGCCUGUGUACAGUCUUCUGAUGAAAAAAUAGAGGACAUUGUGCUACUGUCAACUUUGUCAUUCCAGUUUAUAAAAUAGUAUUCAGUGUGCCUUGAAAGGAUGUAAACACCUUGUGCAAUUAUAGCUCUUUAGUUUUCAACCGUGAAAUGUUUAAUUGAUGAGAACCUUUUUUCAUCUGACAAAACAGCUUUAUAGUUACCUAUUGCAUUUGUUGGUUUAUAGGAAAUCAUGCAUUUAGUAGAUAAAUAAAAUACAAAAUUAAUUAAUGUAGAUGCAAAAAUAAAUAUAGCUCAAUCUGAAGUGGUUAAAUCCAGUAGGUAAGUAGAAUCAGGUCUGUAAUUAAUUGGGUAACAAAUGAACCCAUCGAAGUAGGGAUCUGUAGGAAAGAGUUUAAGUGGGACAUGCAACCUGGUCAGUUUGGUGUUACCCAUACAGGUAAAUGCAAAAAAACACCAUGCCAAAGUAAAGGAGUUCUCUGCGAACAUCAAGAAGAGGGUAAUGUGAGCAAAUCAGUCUGAGGAAAGCUAUACAACCAUCUAAAAAGGUAUGCUCCAGUAGUCCACUGUGAAGCAAUCAUUUACAGAUGGAAAGCAAUUAACAUCACCGCAACUCAGCUUAGAAGUGGAUGUCCUUCCAAAAUAUCCCCUAGAGCCCCUGGUCAACUGCACGUCAUCAACUUUAUAAUGAAUUCUGAGGUUUCCCAGGAGUUUCUUGAACAGAAUGUAAGGCCAUCAGUCAAUAAUGGAUGGCCUUACAAGACAAUGACGAAACUAUUUGUGUUUUGGAUUGGCCAAACCAUAGUUCUAACCGUAAUCCAAUUCCAAUGGUUUGGCAGGAUUUGAAGCGUGCAGUAAAUGCCAGACAACCCUCAAACCUCACCCAAUUGGUGGAGAUCCAUAAAGAGGAGUGACCAAAAAUCUUUACCAGAGACAUUAAAUCAAAGUUAUCACUGCUAAUUGAGGUGACAAAAGCUAUUAAAUUAAGGGGUUUCACAUAUUUUUGUACACAUUAAAUCACUUUUGUAAAAUGAACAAUGAACAUAUAUGCUUUUGUUUGUGUCCUUUAUUUGUCUUUAUUACAAAUUAGGGUUUCACAAAGGUUUUUGGGAGUUUAUUUUAAUAUGUUAUACCAAAAUAAUGACCAUAUUGUAAAUAAAUGUUACCAUUGCAUUUUACCGUUAUUUACUUUACAUUUGACAUAUAUUUUUCAGAAUGACAGU
ensembl:lncRNA